GAUGAACGCUAGCUACAGGCUUAACACAUGCAAGUCGAGGGGAAACGAUAGGGAAAGCUUGCUUUUUCUAGGCGUCGACCGGCGCACGGGUGAGUAACGCGUAUCCAACCUGCCCAUCACUUGGGGAUAACCUUGCGAAAGUAAGACUAAUACCCAAUGACGUCUCUAGAAGACAUCUGAAGGAGAUUAAAGAUUUAUCGGUGAUGGAUGGGGAUGCGUCUGAUUAGCUUGUUGGCGGGGUAACGGCCAACCAAGGCGACGAUCAGUAGGGGUUCUUAGAGGAAGGGCCCCCACAUUGGAACUGAGACACGGUCCAAACUACGACAGGAGGCAGCAGUGAGGAAUAUUGGUCAAUGGACGAGCGUCUGAACCAGCCAAGUAGCGUGCAGGAAGACUGCCCUAUGGGUUGUAAACUGCUUUUAUAAGGGAAUAAAGUGAGUCUCGUGAGACUUUUUGCAUGUACCUUAUGAAUAAGGACCGGCUAACUCCGUGCCAGCAGCCGCCGUAC
rnacentral:rRNA from 1 species